CCUACGGGUGGCAGCAGUGAGGAAUAUUGGUCAAUGGCCGUAAGCCUGACCCAGCCAAGUCGCGUGAGGGAAGACUGCCCUCUGGGUUGUAAACCUCUUUUAUGCGGAGAUAAGGGUGUCCACGUGUUGAUGUUUGCAUGUACCGCAUGUAUAAGGGCAGGCUAGUUCAAUGCCAGCCGCCGCGGUGAUACGGAGGGUCCGGGCGUUAUCCGGAUUUAUUGGGUUUAAAGGGAACGUAGGCCGGUCGUUAAGCGUACCGUGAAAUUUUGUGGCUCAACCAUGGGAGUGCGUGGCCAACUGGAGACCUGGAGUGUGUGGAAGGCAGGUGGAAUUCGUGGUGUAGGGGUGAAAUGCUUAGAUAUCAGGAAGAACCACGAUGGCGAAGGCAGCCUGCCGCAGCGUUACUGACGCUGAAGCUCGAAAGCGCGGGUAGCGAACAGGAUUAGAUACCCUUGUAGUC
rnacentral:rRNA from 1 species